GAUCAUGGCUCAGGACGAACGCUGGCGGCGCGCCUAACACAUGCAAGUCGAACGGAGAUUACAGGCGGAAGUUUUCGGAUGGAAGCUUGUAAACUUGGUGGCGGACGGGUGAGUAACACGUGAGCAACCUGCCUAUCAGAGGGGGAUAACGAUUGGAAACGAUCGCUAAUACCGCAUGACAUAGCGGAACCGCAUGGUUUUUGUUAUCAAAGAUUUUAUCGCUGAUAGAUGGGCUCGCG
rnacentral:rRNA from 1 species